rnacentral:rRNA from 1 species
CAGCAGCCGCGGGAAUACAGAGGGUGCGAGCGUUAAUCGGAUUUACUGGGCGUAAAGCGUGCGUAGGCGGCUUCUUAAGUCGGAUGUGAAAUCCCUGAGCUUAACUUAGGAAUUGCAUUCGAUACUGGGAAGCUAGAGUAUGGGAGAGGAUGGUAGAAUUCCAGGUGUAGCGGUGAAAUGCGUAGAGAUCUGGAGGAAUACCGAUGGCGAAGGCAGCCAUCUGGCCUAAUACUGACGCUGAGGUACGAAAGCAUGGGGAGCAAACAGGAUUAGAUACCCCCGUAGUCCCUGUCCUUAUACA